GCUGGGUGUGGUGGCGCACGCCUGUAAUCCCAGCUACUUGAGAGGCUGAGGCAGGAGAAUUGCUUGAACCCGGGUGGCGGAGGUUGCAGUGAGCCUAGAUCGCGCCACUGCACUCCAGCCUGGGCGACAGAGCGAGACUCUGUCUCAA
rnacentral:SRP_RNA from 1 species